UGAGUAAUGUCUGGGAAACUGCCUGAUGGAGGGGGAUAACUACUGGAAACGGUAGCUAAUACCGCAUAACGUCGCAAGACCAAAGAGGGGGACCUUCGGGCCUCUUGCCAUCGGAUGUGCCCAGAUGGGAUUAGCUAGUAGG
rnacentral:rRNA from 1 species